rfam:Tupaia chinensis contig40944, whole genome shotgun sequence.
AUACUUUAUUUUGAAGCAUAUAUGCCAAAAUUGAAGCUAUAGAGAGGACAUUAGCAUGACCACUACAAAGGAUGCAUGUAAAUGUGUUAAGUAUUGCAUAUUUUA